rnacentral:lncRNA from 1 species
UCAGAUUUCGUCAUAACUUAGAACCCUUAGGGCUUAAAAGAAAUAAAAGAUUCAGAAAGCACAAGUGGAGCCUUUUAGAGGGCUUAUGAGCGUGUGUGUCUUUGUCCCCCAACCCCAUCCCUACUGUGAAAUAGUUUUCUUUAAAGGGAAAAAAAUAGCAAGAGCUGUUAGCUAAAAUUCCUCCCCUUAGAAGAAUGUGAAUAGGAUAGACUAUGCAGGGCUCUUGUUCAUGUAACUUUCCGUCCAAUCUCUUAAAAAUAAAUGUACAGCUACUCUUGCUUUCUGAGCCAGAUUGGUUUUGGGUCACCUGAUGAGGCACCUAUCUGAGCCUGUGAACUUCUCUUCAGUUCACACUGAGCCUAGCUGGGCCACGUGCUCUCAAAGGCUAAAUCUCAUACUAGUCCAUAUAUUAAACUAUAUGGAAAACUUUAAGACCCGUGGUCUCCUCCAAUCAAAUUUCAUGUUGCCUUUUUUUUAAUCAAUCAAAAUUCAACUUUAAAUGUCAAUUACUCUAGUCUGUCUCUUGACUGGCCAUGGUGUUAUUGUCCAAUGACAUUUGUUUGCUGUAUGGUUGUUCUCUACGUUAACUUCUACUGAAAUUAAAAGGUGUGCAUGUUCAAUGUAGUCUUAAACACACAAAUGUCCCAAUGUAGUUCUCAACUAUGUUUGCCAUCAACAUGACUCAAGUC